rnacentral:rRNA from 1 species
GACGAACGCUGGCGGCGUGCUUAACACAUGCAAGUCGAACGGAAAGGCCCUGCUUUUGUGGGGUGCUCGAGUGGCGAACGGGUGAGUAACACGUGAGUAACCUGCCCUUGACUUUGGGAUAACCUCAGGAAACUGGGGCUAAUACCGGAUAGGAGCUCCUGCUGCAUGGUGGGGGUUGGAAAGUUUCGGCGGUUGGGGAUGGACUCGCGGCUUAUCAGCUUGUUGGUGGGGUAGUGGCUUACCAAGGCUUUGACGGGUAGCCGGCCUGAGAGGGUGACCGGCCACAUUGGGACGGAGAUACGGCCCAGACUCCUACGGGGGGCAGCAGUGGGGAAUAUUGCACAAUGGGCGGACGCCUGAUGCAGCAACGCCGCGUGCGGGAUGACGGCCUUCGGGUUGUAAACCGCUUUCGCCUGUGACGAAGCGUGGGUGACGGUAAUGGGUAAAGAAGCACCGGCUACCUACGU